GUGCCAUAAUAUCCUUCUUUAGAACAGGUGCCCAAAAUUGCAUAGCAUAUUCAAUAUGUGGUCUUACCAGUGAUUUAUAAAGAGGCAAAAUGAUAUUCUCGUCCCGAGAAUGAAUGCCCUUUUUCAUGCAUGACAAUACCUUGGCCACUGCUGAUUGACAUUGCACAUUGUUACAUAGUUUGUUGUCUAUAACAAUUCCCAAGUCCUUUUCGUGUGUUGUUAUCCCUAAUUCGCUUCCAUUAAGGGUAAGCGUUGCUUGUGUAUUCUUUACGCUGAAGUGCAUAACUUUGCAUUUUUCAACAUGUGACGCGGAAAUGAUACCAAAUGUCAUGUGACG